AUUGAACGCUGGCGGCAUGCCUUACACAUGCAAGUCGAACGGUAACGCGGGGCAACCUGGCGACGAGUGGCGAACGGGUGAGUAACGCAUCGGAACGUGCCCAGUAGUGGGGGAUAGCCCGGCGAAAGCCGGAUUAAUACCGCAUACGACCUACGGGUGAAAGGGGGGGAUCGCAAGACCUCUCGCUAUUGGAGCGGCCGAUGUCAGAUUAGGUAGUUGGUGGGGUAAAGGCCUACCAAGCCUGCGAUCUGUAGCUGGUCUGAGAGGACGACCAGCCACACUGGGACUGAGAGACGGCCCAGACUCCUACGGGAGGCAGCAGUGGGGAAUUUUGGACAAUGGGCGCAAGCCUGAUCCAGCCAUGCCGCGUGCGGGAAGAAGGCCUUCGGGUUGUAAACCGCUUUUGUCAGGGAAGAAAAGCCUUGGGUUAAUACCCUGGGGUGAUGACGGUACCUGAAGAAUAAGCACCGGCUAACUACGUGCCAGCAGCCGCCGUAA
rnacentral:rRNA from 1 species